GAUGAACGCUAGCGGCAGGCUUAACACAUGCAAGUCGAGGGGCAGCAUGAGACGGAGAUUCGUCGAAGUCUUGAUGGCGACCGGCGCAAGGGUGCGUAACGCGUGAGCAACUUGCCCGUUUCAGGGGGAUAACCGGUGGAAACGCCGACUAAUACCCCAUAGUAUGUUUUUAAGGCAUCUUUUAAACAUUAAAGAAAUUCGGAAACGGAUAGGCUCGCGUGACAUUAGCUAGAUGGCGGGGUAACGGCCCACCAUGGCGACGAUGUCUAGGGGUUCUGAGAGGAAGGUCCCCCCACACUGGAACUGAGACACGGUCCAGACUCCUACGGGGAGGCAGCAGUGAGGAAUAUUGGUCAAUGGUCUGACGACUGAACCAGCCAUGCCGCGUGAAGGUGACGGCCCUAUGGGUCUUAAACUUCUUUUGUAAGGGAGCAAUAAGGUGUACGUGUACAUCGAUGAGAGUACCUUACGAAUAAGCAUCGGCUAACUCCGUG
rnacentral:rRNA from 1 species